rnacentral:rRNA from 1 species
CAGUAGCCGCGGGAAUACGGAGGGGGCUAGCGUUGUUCGGAAUUACUGGGCGUAAAGCGCACGUAGGCGGCUUGGUAAGUUAGAGGUGAAAGCCCAGGGCUCAACCCUGGAAUUGCCUUUAAGACUGCCGAGCUAGUAGGUGAGAGAGGUGAGUGGAAUUCCGAGUGUAGAGGUGAAAUUCGUAGAUAUUCGGAGGAACACCAGUGGCGAAGGCGGCUCACUGGUCCACAACUGACGCUGAGGUGCGAAAGCGUGGGGAGCAAACAGGAUUAGAUACCCCCGUAGUCCCUGUAUCUUAUAC